rnacentral:rRNA from 1 species
ACUUUGAUUCUGGCUCGGGAUGAACGCUAGCGGCAGGCUUAACACAUGCAAGUCGAGGGGUAACAUAGAAAAGCUUGCUUUUCUGAUGACGACCGGCGCACGGGUGCGUAACGCGUAUACAAUCUGCCUUAUACUGGGGUAUAGCCUUUAGAAAUGAAGAUUAAUCCCCCAUAGUCUCUUUAAAUGGCAUCAUUUUAAGAGUAAAGGUUACGGUAUAAGAUGAGUAUGCGUUCUAUUAGUUUGUUGGUGAGGUAACGGCUCACCAAGACUGCGAUAGAUAGGGGCCCUGAGAGGGGGAUCCCCCACACUGGUACUGAGACACGGACCAGACUCCUACGGGAGGCAGCAGUGAGGAAUAUUGGACAAUGGAGGCAACUCUGAUCCAGCCAUGCCGCGUGCAGGAAGACUGCCCUAUGGGUUGUAAACUGCUUUUAUACAGGAAGAAACCUUGGUACGUGUACCAAGCUGACGGUACUGUAAGAAUAAGGAUCGGCUAACUCCGUGCCAGCAGCCGCGGUA